rnacentral:sRNA from 1 species
AAACAAAAGAAGAAAGAAACA